rnacentral:rRNA from 1 species
AUGACGUUCCACUUGGUAGAUGAUAUCCCCAUAUCCAUCGGGCACGCCGUUGGUCAUGCCAUGGCGACGCACCUAGUCAAGAAUGCCAAAUUUUGUGUUAGGACAAGGAAGGAUGACGAUGAUGAAAUUGAUGAUGAUGAAGAACUGGUCAUCUGGGAGAGACGAUUCAUGUUGUUCUUUGAUGCUUCUCCAGUUGCAUUUGGUGGUCUCACUAGUCUCAACAUAGGGAAUUUGAGAUUUGGUGAGUCAGACAUAUCCAGCAUCCUCACCACUUGCAAGCGGCUGAAGCGUAUGCACUUGUACAAUUGUGACUCUGGUGAUCAUAGCACCCUGCAGGUUGAACACGCUAAUCUCAGUGAGCUUUGUAUCGUAUAUUGUCGUCUCGAGCAAGUUAAGCUGAACUGGCUCCCUCAGCUCACAAGCAUAGUCUUUGACGGUUGGAUAGAUUUCCAAGAUCCACUGGUUCUUGGUCAUGUUCCGUUGCUCGAGUCUGUAAGCCUCACAAAUGUUGCCCUUAGUUACAACAAGAUGGUCAAGUUAAGUAGGUUUCUUGGCAGUGCCUCUCCACGAGUUCUGAAGUUGGGGUUUAGGUCCGAAAUGAUUUGGGUGCAGCCAGAAUGUCCAACGCAAGAUCUGGCAUCUGUGUUCCGCCAACUAAGGUUUGUGAACCUUGUUAAACUUCCUGAAGGGUAUGAUCUCACCUGGACAAUGUUUAUUCUUGAAGCUGCACCCUUACUGAAGGAGCUAUACAUGACAGUCUGGGAUGAUUUGUGUUCAAUGGAAAUGGAUGAGGAGAAGAGAAAAAAGGAAUCGUAUAGUGAGAACAAGGGUGUAGAGUGGAGCGCGGCUGCAGCUGAUUUCCAACACCACAGUUUGGUCACACUCGUCAUCUUUGGCUUUGAAUCUGAAGAUUAUGCUGUUAAUUAUGUCAGACGUGUCAUGGUGGCAGCGGUCAAUCUAGAGGAUGUGUUCCUCUAUAGUAGGUUGGAGUUGGAGUGCGGCAACUGCCAGGACAAGAAGCCCACCAGGUUCGCCUGGACUAAAAGGCAGAAGAUUUCACUGAAGAAGAGAAUCACCGCGGGGAUUGAGUCGUUUGCCAUAAUCCACUCCAACAAGACGAUAAGGGCUGACCAUCAAGCAAAAAAGCUUUACCCACAGUGCUCACACUUUGACGCAACAAGUGGUUGA